GCGACAACGACGAGGAAGACGGAGAUGAUGCCGGCGGCGGCGGCGAGUAUGUGAACAAGGCGACCGGCGAGAUCGGCGGACCGAGGGGGCCGGAGCCUACUCGGUACGGCGAUUGGGAGAAGGGCGGCCGGUGCUCGGAUUUCUGAAUGCCCGAUCCACAAAUGGUUUGCUGCUAUGAAAGUGUAACUGUUUAAUUACUUUGGAGUGUUCUUGUGAUGGAUUACUGUAGCUCAUAAUCUCUGGCUAGCUUCGGAAGGAGUCUCAGAGUACAUAAACU
rnacentral:misc_RNA from 1 species